GCUCCUGAGAGACACUAUAAAAGGCCUCCUGGAAGAGUUGAGUCAAACGUCCACUCGAACAUUGGCGAAGAUGCAGUCCCUGGGAGUGAAGCUGGUCGCUCUGGCCCUGGUCAUGAUGCUGGUGUCCAGCGCUCUGGCUGGACCUGUUGCUCAUUCACUUGUCAAGCGCUCUGAUGAGAGCAAUGAAAGCACCGGCAACAGCGGCACUGCCAUCAACACCA